GACGAACGCUGGCGGCGUGCUUAACACAUGCAAGUCGAGCGGAAAGGCCCUUCGGGGUCCUCGAGCGGCGAACGGGUGAGUAACACGUUAGUAACCUGCCCCAGACUUUGGGAUAACCCUCGGAAACGGGGGCUAAUACCGGAUACGACACAGCUUCGCAUGGGGUCUGUGUGGAAAGUUUUUCGGUUUGUGAUGGGCUCGCGGCCUAUCAGCUUGUUGGUGGGGUGAUGGCAUACCAAGGCGACGACGGGUAGCCGGCCUGUGAGGGCGACCGGCCACACUGGGCCUGAGAGACGGCCCAGACUCCUACGGGAGGCAGCAGUGGGGAAUAUCACACAAUGGGCGGAAGCCUGAUGCAGCGACGCCGCGUGAGGGAUGACGGCCUUCGGGUUGUAAACAUCUUUCAGCAGGGACGAAGCGUAAGUGACGGUACCUGCAGAAGAAGCGCCGGCUAACUACGUG
rnacentral:rRNA from 1 species